AUGGUGUUUAUACUGAAAUCUUUCAGGAAAGCAAACCCAGCAAUGGGUGAUGCAACAACCAAGUGUUCUGCUGGAGAAGAGAAUGACAGAAUCAAGUAUGCUAUGUCAUCUAUGAAAGGAUUUCGUGAUGAAAUGGAAGAUGCUCUCACAGCUGUCCUAGAUCUAGAUGGUUACAGUUCCACAUCAUUCUUUGGUGUUUAUGAUGGCCAUGGAGGAGCUGAUGUAGCAUUGUAUUGUUCAAGGCAAUUUCAUAUUGAGCUCACCAAGGAACCAGACUAUGGCAACAAUCUGCGUACCGCACUGGAGCAUGUGUAUUUCAGAAUUGAUAAGAAGUUGAAACGAUCGGAUGAAUGGAAAAGGGAGCCAGCUCAUCCUCCUGUUAAUAGAACUUGGAAAAACUUGCUCAGGGCUGCUCUUUGUGAUCCUAAGGAACGUUAUGUUCCCCCCCUACAGGAAGGAACCACAGCAUGUGUGGCUCUCAUUAGAGGUAACCAGAUUAUUGUUGGAAAUAUUGGUGAUUCCCGUUGUGUACUCUCAAGGAAUGGUCAGGCAAAUGAUCUAUCCACCGAUCACAAGCCAGACCACCAACAGGAAAGGGCGAGAAUUGAAAGGGCAGGAGGUCAAGUAACCAGGGAUGAGAACCCUCAGAGAGAUAUCACAGGACGACUAGUUAGUAUGGACUUGGGCAUCCAUCGCAUCGGGGGGAAAUUAGCCAUAUCCAGAGCGAUUGGUGAUUUUCAAUACAAGCAGAACAAAACUUUGUCUCCUGCAGAACAAAUUGUGACAUGUAGUCCGGACAUUCGCACUGUGGACAUAACUGAUGACACUGAAUUUCUUAUUAUAGCAAGUGACGGUAUCUGGGACGUCAAGUCAAGUCAAGAGGCGGUCGAUUUUGUAAGGCAGCGUUUGCAAUCCGGGGAGACAAAUCUGCGUGCCAUUUGUGAGAGACUUCUUGAUUCAUGCCUGGGCCGGAGAAUGAGUGACAAUAUGAGCGUGAUAGUGGUUGAGUUCAAGGCGGGCGCCCGCGCCAACCCCACUGCCACUGCUGAAGCCAGGGCUGACGAAAUCGAGGUCAACAUCGAAGUGGGGCAGUCCAGCAGCGCAAAUGUGGAAGGGGGGCAGCCCAGCAACGGAAAUGAUGACGACGACGGCUCUGUCAACGGCUGCAUAGGAUGCUUCGGCCGCUUGGAUAUGUUUGAGGCCGGCGAGGACUGA
rnacentral:rRNA from 1 species